ACUCCUACGGGAGGCAGCAGUGGGGAAUUUUCCGCAAUGGGCGAAAGCCUGGGGAAUAUUGGGCAAUGGAGGAAACUCUGACCCAACGACGCCGCGUGCGGGAUGAAGGCCUUCGGGUUGUAAACCGCUUUCAGCAGGGAAGAAGCGAAAGUGACGGUACCUGCAGAAGAAGCACCGGCUAACUAUGUGCCAGCAGCCGCGGUAAUAC
rnacentral:rRNA from 1 species